CUUCAGAGUCCUCCUGGAAUACUGUGAUUCUCAGACAUUUGGAAAUUAAAUGCUAAUGACGUUCACAACAGAAGAGUGAGUUUUGUGGCUCCCCUGUCCAAAUUCCAUACCAAACACAGCCUGGGGUGGACACUGCGAUCUCCCCACUGAGUUACUGUGAAAGCCGGAAGCAGCACUGCCUGCUAGGACUUUCCAUGUCGAUGGCAGCACCAACACAGCACCCACAGGCCACACGUGGCUACCAAGCACGUGAGGUGUGUUGAGUGUGGCUGGGCAGCAGGAUGCUUCAUUUAAUUGAAUUGAAAUGUGAGUGGCCUCCUGGGGUUAGCAGCUGCCUGAGUGGCCAGGGUAGGUCUAGAGAUCUGGAAGAAACUGUCAUGAGUAUAAAGACAGGAGUCUGCUCUUCUCUGCCAUGGCUCCCUCCUCUUGGGGCUGGAUGGCCAAGAAGAGGCUGGACUUCCUUCUUGGGGCCCAUGUGCACACCCUGGUCCCCUCUUUGCCAUUUCCCGGGAGCAUCUCUGACGUCCGGGUCUUCUCUGGCCUAGCAGACAGCUGGACGAGAAGCCGGGCUCAGCGGAGGCUCCCGUGUAGGUUAUGGGCCCAGGCCUUAUGCUGCAGCUCAGUUCCCUGCCUACCCGGGCACCAGCCCAACUCAUAAUAAAAAAAGCCACUUUUAGCUUUCUUUCCUGAUCUCUCAUGUGAGUUUGUCUUCCAAAGGAACUUUGUGGGACUGAAGUGUGUGUGGCGGGGGAGAGCCAGUGGCUCUGGUUUGGCAAGAUUGCUGCAUUCCCGAGUUCCUGAGACAUUUGCAUCGAAUUAACUCUGAAAUUUCAAGGUCGUGACCCAGGAGAGGAUGCCUGACCCAGGAAUGAAAACUGGAAGAGCUUUGAACAUCUAUCAACAUGUUUCUUGACAGGCCCUUGGACCCGGCCUUCUAUUUCCAGCCAAUCUUUUCACCAAAGAACUGCGUUUUCCAGACUCUUUGUAUCCCCCUGGUCCUCCAGUGGCCUCUUGGACAGGAUUGCAGGAGAGCUUCCUUGCGGAGGAAGAUGCUCAGUGCUGCAGCCAUGUGUCUGUUGCUGGGGCUCCUCCUGCUCCCUCCCUCAGCCGCUCAGCAAAGGCCCAGAGGGAGGAGAUGGACUCGACCACAAAGUCUCAUGGACACUUAUGCAGAGAAGUUGUCUUUUGCUGGGGGGAAGCCCAGAUAGAAUCUUGGAGCUGGGAGAUAGACCUGUUUGCGGGCUGUCCCACUCACUUCUCAGUCCCUCUCUCACUGUUAGCUCAGUGCUGAUAAUUUUGUUGACUUGGAGCGCUCGCCUGGCUUGGCAGCGAAUGGAAAGGAGGAGUUUUUCCCCAGCAGAGACUUAGCCUGUCCAUGGUUAUUUAUGAUGGAUGCUGUUGUUAGAUUUGGGGAUGGAAGGUUGAAGACUGGGAGGAGGGAGUGGCUUCAUGUAGGGCGUUGGAGUCAUUAGGGUCUCUGUGCCCAGCUGAGGUUAUGGGCAUCUGGGCAUCCACUGGCAUAGCCUGCCACAAUAGGCAAGGAAUAGAUGAGCAGAGAAAACUGUACUCCUCAACCAUCCUGGCUGUCCACUAGCCCGUCCAGAGGGGCUGCUUCAACUUUCAUCAGGCCGUGGAGGAAGGUCUUGUUCCUUGUUCUUGUUUCCAGCUGCUGCCUCUUAUUUCCUUGUAGGUCUGUGAUGCUGUCUCUGUGAUGGUGAGGAGGUGGCCCCUGAUUAAAGCAGUGUGGACCCAAGACAGAUUGUCCAUGGGCUGGUCAACAACUUAGGAGGUGUCAGGCACGAAGCCUUGCCCAGCUGGCAUCAUAGGCUCACCUCAGGACCAGAUAUACUCUUCCCUUUGCUGUGAGGAAGUGGGGAGUCUCAGUUCAGUUCAGUCGCUCAGUCGUGUCCAACUCUUUGCGACCCCAUGAAUUGCAGCACGCCAGGCCUUCCUGUCCAUCACCAACUCCCGGAGUUCACCCAGACUCACAUCCAUCGAGUCAGUGAUGCCAUCCAGCCAUCUCAUCCUCUGUCGUCCCCUUCUCCUCCUGCCCCCAAUCCCUCC
rnacentral:lncRNA from 1 species